rnacentral:other from 1 species
UUCCCUGCGUGGUGCGUGACACUUGAUGGAAAUUUUAGAACCAACAAGAUUAAAACGGGAGUCUGACUUUAUGUAUGGCGUGUAGGCUUGAAUUUAUUUAAGAAACCCAGGAGUAUGUAAGAGGACACCCACCUGUGAAAACAGGUCCAUAAAAUUUCUUUACUUGACGGCUAUGGCGGGGGU